GGGGGAGAGUUCUUACCUGAUUCUUGCCUAAAUUAAAACAGGGAGAUCGGAGGAGAGUUUCUAUCCGAAAUCUCCCGUUCACAACUCUUAAUAAAAUAUAUCUAGAGAUCGGGAGAAGUUCAGUCCUGAGUUUUCUUAGCAAAGUUCUAAAUAAACAAAACUUCAACAUACGAGGCAACUUUAUCCGAACACCUAUUCACUAAAAGGCCAUCUCAUGAACUUCUGUUCGUGGGACAAUCCGAACCAGUGAAACAUCAAAUUAUUCCUUUUUAUCUGUCCAAAGGAUUAACAUUGUCACUAUUCCAACCCCCCUAAUUACCCUUUUAAUUUAU
rnacentral:misc_RNA from 1 species